UCCGAGAGAGAUUCCAAGCAGUCCUCCAUGGGUCAACCAAAGCCCGUAAUCGAACAGCCGUAAAGGAAAAAAGUCCAGCUCCUCCAGUUAUUCAAGCAAUCCCUGCUUAUUUCCUCUCUCUCUCUCUCUCUCUAGGUUUUGGAGAAGCUUAAGCCUAAAGGAAUGGAAGAGGAGGUCGUUUCGAAGGGGACGGCAGUGGUGGCCUGUACCGCGAUGACCUUGUCCUACGUUGCGAUUCUCUACGCGCCUACUUUGAUCCUCCGCCUCCCACGUCCUCCCUCAUUCAACAGCUUCAUGAUCCGACGCUUCGUAUGUGCCGCUAUCUCCUCCAUUGUUUCACUCCUCAUCUGCGCCCUCAUCCUUCCCAUAAGAAGGAAGGAGGCAUCGGUUCUACUCGGUGUUUACGGAAUCCAAGUGGAUCAUAUUUGGCAAGCUGUGGUGUUUCCUGUUUUCUUGACUUCUUUAAUGUACGCCGGAUCUUUGGUGCUCAAGUCUCUGGUAUUGGUGGAAUCGUGGAGGGACAAUGUGAAUCACAGUGAAGGUGUUUCCCUUGAGUGUAUCAAAAUCAUCAUACAAAAGUUGAUUGCCUCGAUAGUUUCAGUUACUUCCAAUGUUCUGGCUUGGCGUAAUUUUGUUGUGGCACCACUUACUGAGGAGCUGGUUUUUAGAGCAUGCAUGAUACCUCUACUUCUAUGUGGAGGAUUUAAACCAUACACUGUCAUAUAUCUCUGCCCAAUUUUCUUCAGCUUGGCACAUCUAAACCAUUUAAUGGAGUUCUACAGCAAGCAAAACUAUAGCUUGGUCAAAACUUCCAUGGUUGUAGGACUCCAGCUUGGCUACACGGUAAUAUUUGGGUCAUAUGCAUCUUUCCUCUUCAUUCGGACUGGACAUCUGAUAGCUCCUUUAGCUGCUCAUAUGUUUUGCAAUUUUAUGGGACUGCCAGUGCUGUUUUCACGGAGGAAUGGUAUGGUAAGCAUUGCAUUUGUUGCAGGAAUGGUUGGCUUCCUCUCACUUCUUUUUCCAAUGACACGCCCAGAUCUGUAUAAUUAUAGAUCUAAUAAUUGCAAAUGUUGGCAUGGAUAUUGUUCUUGGAGCUGAUUAUGCGCCAUUUUUCAAAAUAGCUUUUAUUUUUUUCCGAAGAAAAGGAAAAGAAAAAGAAAAGCGAAAGUGAUGCAAUCUUUGUGGUAAUUGACCUUUACUUUUGCCAUGAAUCGGGGAAGUUAGAUCUAAAAUGGCAGUUUCCAAUAUAGAUUUCCAAGGAUUCUUAUUAUGGCUUCUUCGUAGAGGUUGGAGAGAAUGCAUUUCAUGAGCUAUUACAAAAACAGAGUUAACAAACAUGUGAAAGAAAGGUUGAAAGCAUGCAUUCUCAUGCCUCGCAAUCUGUAAAAUAGUGAUUUUACUCGUGAUUUUAUACACUUUUCUUUCAGGUCGAAGAGAAAUUUUUUACCUCUCUAGUCCCGUAUAAAUUAGAGAAGCAUAGAAGAUUUUAGGGAGAAGUGCACAUUUAAUCUUUUAACUAAUGGCUGUUUUGUGCUUUGCAUCUUAAACUAUGAAGACCAACUAUAAACUU